UGGGGAUCCCGAUGCUCCUCCUGCUCCCGCGGCUCCUCUCCUCCUCACCUCCGCCUUCUCCACCUCCGCCUCGCAUCGCUGGCCUCAGCCGCCGCCGACCAGCGCAGCCCUCCUGGUGCUCCCUGCAGCUCUGGGCCUGGAGAAGUGGAAGAUAUGUCCCCCGCACAGCCUGGUUUUCAGCAUCCCCGUGUCCUCUUUCCCUUUUUGAAGCCAGAACUUCAGGGUCAGACCCUUUGUACAUCAUCAAUUUCAUCCUGACUCUUUCCAGCAGCCCCUGAGCUCGCUGCUUUGUUUAUGCUAGUGUCCAGAAACAACUCCUGCUUUCCUGGUCUGCUGAACUUCUGAACAAUCCUUGCUUUGGAUCCAAUAAUACAAGGGGCAGCUGCUCUGCCAGCGGCAGUCCUAAUCCAAGUGGGUAAAAAAGGCUGCUUAAAAAAAAGGGCUGUAGGCUUGCUUGAGCAGCCUGCAGCAUGCCCAGCAGUAAUGCCUUCAUUUAGAGCAGCCUUGCAGUGUCUCCAGGCUUUCGCAGUGUUUGUGUGGGUAAGUAAAAUGUGAUUAGUUUCUCAGUAAUGUAUUGAUUCAGUGAGUAGAUUUUGUAUGUGGACUUGGUUAUUGAUUGGGCAAAUUUGCAAGGAUGUUUGAAGCCUGAAUCUUUGCCUACCAGAAAUAUGGUGAGAUAGACAUGUAUAUAUAUAUAUAUUUAUAUAGGUAAACAGGGGAUACUUGUGACUCUUUAUUUCUCCUGCCUCCCUUAAAUUGAAGUAGUAAAUCAGUAUGAUCAAAAGAGCUAGAAUAAUCAAUCUGUCCUUACACAAUUGAUCUGAGAGCCCUAAUUAAAACUAUAGAGAAAUUAAACGUAAGGUUUCUUGUUCUCUCUGCAACAUUGUACAGUCUUCUGUUAUGGAACUCAUACAGUUCUGAUGUACAGAGUAAAAUUGUGAAGGUGAAAUACUUUACCUACAGAUGUACCAAGGCCACAUAUCUGCUGGGAGGACAUUUCUGUUAUCCUGUUGCCUUCUGUUUAAGUUCUCACAUGGCGUUAAUCACCAUGGUAUCUUACAGCUUUAGAAAAAUAUAGUGCACCAUAUGUGACAAAUCAUUAAUAUCUUUAAGAACGAAGAUGCUAGAUAAAAAUACUCGUCACAAAUCUGAUGCUGAAGAUGUGCAUUGAUGGCCAUCCCCAUCCAUGCAGCCUGAGUGAAAUAAGUGAGUGUAUUUUAUACCAGAGAUGGGGUCAGAGUCUUUCUUUAGGUGGUGACACUGCAUGCAGUCACUCAAUGUAUAGAGUUUAAAUGGCAGAUUCACUCCUUUCUUCUCUAACCCAUGCUAUAGUACACUAAAGCAAAGGGAAAACACGCAAACCACAUCCCUGUACCCUGUGCUGCACCACAGAGGAGUGGCUGCUUUGCAGUGCCCAAGGUUAGCAUCAAAAGAAAAGAACUUGCUGAUAAAUUCAAAGGAAGCUUUUGCACUUAUUGUAUAAUGCUCACGUAGUUAAAAUCCAAACAUUAAGCAAAGUGAGGGGCUGUACUUCAGUUGGAAGGAAUGCACUAGAGUGGUUAUCCCCUCAACUGGUAAUCUCACACAUUUUUGUAUGUUUUUCAUUUUCCACUUAGUUUCAUUCUGAUCUGUUUCCUAUUUAUUCUGUGUCAACACAUAAAUAAUUUUCUCCGUUGUAUCCCUCGCUACUAAAUUAUUUUUCUUGAUGGAACAGCAAAAGUAAUUAUAUUUAUAAAUGGAAUGUCUGUUUUGCCUAAGUACCACGUCUAAUUCCCUUCUGUAAGAGGGAUUUCUAUAAUUCCUCCAAAAAUGUCUUGGCAAAGACCAACCCACCAGUCGGUGGCACGGACCCGGCCUUUAGGGGCAGAACUCAGGGUUCCCAUUCCUUUGGCCAGCAGGCAGGAGGGCACUGUAGAAAAGAAUGCCCUGGUUUGUCUGAGAGAACGGUGCUGAUGUUAACUAUGUGAGUUAUUAAGCAGCCUGGCACUGAGAGUUGCUUGCCACCUGUGGGUUUCACUGUUCAGCACAGGAUUAUUUUGGCAACUGAAGCAUUCUUCAUUGUGGAUGGCUGUGGGAAGAUAUUAAUCCUGCUUUUUGAGUAAGAUGCACUCACUGACCUAAUAGAUCUGUUCCACUUCUACUCUAUGAUGCUGUGAAAGGAAAUCAAACAAGUCCCAAGUAGAAGGAUGAGCAAUCUCGCAUCCUUCUUAUCCGCUUUCUACAUUCUUUUUCAGCUCUUUUCUGCAGACAAGCUGAGAUGUCCAUUGCUUUACAGGAGUAGAAUGGAGGGAGAUCUGUUGUGAAUUCUGCAUUAAGAACAGUUCAGUUUUACAUCUCUGGGUGCUCCUUUAGGAAACCUGAGUCAGAAUCAUUGUAUGGGGAUGGUGAAUCCCCAUACAGUGGGGCCAUGAAUAGUUCACAGCCUGCUCACUGAUGGAACAGAGACAGGCCUCACCGAACUUACCUGUGCUGCAGGAGAAUAAAAGCAUCAUUUUCUUACCGGGUUCUCCAAAUCUAGUAAAUAUUCCUGUACAUUGUUUUCUUUAUUAUUAUCUCGCUAUGUGCUUUCAGUAAGGGUUUGUCCAGGGUAUUUAUUAAGCAGUCAGACAUUCUGUUCCUACAGAUGUGUCAAACUUGAAGAAGGUUGUACCGGAGAGCUGAAAACCGGUGCCCUGUUUGGUUUGGGAGCUGCAAAUGCAGGGAUCUCUGUGACAUGUCUGGUGUGAGGUAGGAGGUCUUUGGCCUGGUGGAAAGUGCCUAAACCUCUCGUCUCACGGACCCUACAGCAGAGCUAGCAUUUCCAUGGGUACCAGUUCCUCAGCUGCCAGAGCUUCCAGCACCCAGCUCUCACCAAAACCACAGGGAGAUCAGAAGAUGGCACAUGCCGCUCCUGAAGCUCAGCGGCUCCUGGGCUGGUGUCUUUGACAUACAGCAGUUCAAACUAGCAGGGUAGGUGCUUUCAACCAGCUAGCAGCGUGAGCCCAGCUCCAUCAGGCUGGGUGUGCUGCUGCUGCUUUGCCCCAGUGCUCCGUGGCCUCGCUGCUGCCCUCCCACUGUGUCUGGCUUUGCUGCUCUGAAGCUGUGUGUGAGUGAGCUGCAGCCUCUGAAGCUCUGCAGAGAAACCGAGGUCCCUUUCCCACUUGAUGGUACAUUUAAUCAGAGGCAUCUCACAAGAUUUGGACUGUAGUAUUUCCUCCUCCCUGUGUACUCUUGCUAAGUGUUCAUGUUUAUUCAAGAUGUAUCUUUAUGAGCGGUUUUCCUUUAUCUCAGUAAUUCAUAUACGCAGUACAAAUUCUGUCUGUCUCCUCAGCUUUUGCAUUCAGCUGCUUUGACUGAUCUAGCACUGCUGAUUUACCAGCUUGUCUGAAAAGAAGGAAGAUUGAUGUUGGCUCAAGUAAAAUACUGAGAUGCCUAUGGAGUUUUCUUGCCCUAGAUUUUUGGAUUGCUAUUUAUUUAAAAUGUAGGCAGAACUCUGACUUCAGUUUUUCAGGAAUGUUUGCCUUAUGUCAGUGUUUCUAAUUCUUUGAGUCAAGUCAUUGUGGUUAGCCAAUCUUGUUUUCUGUCUCUGUGGUAAGAUUUUAAAUCCAGUGGGCUAACCUCAAUGCUCCCCCAAGAAAGGAGGCUGUGAUGACGAUGCAUUUCCUUCUUUGACCUCUGCAGUAGGGCUUUGCAGAAAGAAUCUGUCAAAUUAGGCUGAGCGCCAAGUCACCUGCAUGAGGAUUAAAGGGUCAAACCCUGCUCCUGCAUCAAUAUAUGAAGCAAAAAUUUUCUGGAACAUUUUUAAAGCUAAUUUAUCUUUUAAGAUAAAGUUUAUCUUUAAAUAAGAUAAAGAUAAACUGCUUUUUACUAAAUGUGGACUAUGAACUGUAAGAUUCUGUUGUGCUUGUGAGCAUCACAUGGCUCUGUGGCACUUCAGAGCAAACUUGAGGCUAUUGGGAUCUCUGACUUCUGCAUUUCUCUGCAUAUAUACCUAUCUUGAAGUUCCUGACUUGGUAAUGUUUUGAGGGAAUAAAUAUGAUAUGAUGUAAGUAAAUAUAAGCAGUGUCCCACAGGGGUUGGCCUUGGGACUGGUGCUUUUCGACAUCUUCAUCAGUGACACAGAUGAUGGCAUUGAGUGCAGCUAAGCAAGUCUGCAGAUGACUUCAAGCUGAGUGGUGCAGUCGAUAUAUUGGAAAGAAAGGAAGUCAUCCAGAGGGACCUGGACAGGCUGGAGAAGUGGGCCUUUGAAAACCUCAUGAGGUUCAAGAAGGCCAAGUGCAGGGUGCUGUACUCGGGUCGGGGCAAUCCCAGAUAUUUAUACAAACUGGGGGAAGAUCUCCUUGGGAGCAGCUCUGUGGAGAAGGACUUGGGGGUCCCGGUAGACAAGAAGCUGUACAUGAACCAGCAGUGUUUGCUUGCAGCCCAGAAGGCCAACUGUGUUCUGGGCUGCAUUAAAAAAAGGAGAGGGAGGUGAUCGUCCCCCUCCACUCGGCUCUUGUGAGGCCCCAUCUCCAGUACUGCAUCCAGGCCUGGGAACCCCAGUACAGGAAUGACGUGGAGCUCUUGGAUCGGGUCCAGGCCCACUAAGAUGAUCAGAGGGCUGAACGGUGAGGUGGAAGUGGGCUCCAAAGCUCCCUGCAGAGAGCUGGGUGAGCCAGCCCUGCGGUGAUGUGGUGACACGGGCAGACGCGGACUCUGCACUUCCUCCUUAUUAGCAACAUAAUCACACAUGAUCUAAAGAACUAGAUGGAUUGGAGCCUGUUUAGGGAGCGGACGAUGGGAGGACUGCUGGGACACGAUGCCCUCUGACUGGAAAACAUCAAACUCUUAAAGUCAAAUCAAAAUAAAAGCGUCAUUUGGAAGCUCACUUUAAUAGCGAAGGAAUAGAUGAUCACUUUGUCACCAGUGCCAUUUUGGCAUUACUUAAGACUGACCUGAAUUCUAGAUCUGGCCGGUCCAUUGAUCUAUGAUCAUAAUGAUCCUUUAAUUACUUGGCUUAAUUAUAGCUAAUUUAUUCUAGUGACAGGUUUACCUAUAUGUAGAUUUCUAGGUUUCUGUGUUAUUCUUCACUGAGAUAAUUUUGAGGCAUAAAAGAUACAGCAAGCCAUGCUUUCUAAGCACCUACUUAGAAGUCACAAAGAAUGUUGACCUUUGUGGGUAAAUUUUCACUAAUGUAUUCUUCAAUCAGGCAGUAAAUAUCAGAGCUGUGAGAAACGUCCCGCGUUCUUCACACACACACAGCGGGGGACUGGAAUCCCUCUCCACUCCGUUUCAGCUGUGCACUCAUGACCUGUGCUUCCAUAAUACCUCUUGGCUGUGAUAUCAGCGCUGGGCGUACCAGCGGUGCACACCUACCUUUUCAUGUCAGCUCUGAUAGAAAGAUGCUGUUAGCAGACGGCGUCAGGUAGUAAUGCAGAAGUGACCUUUUAAUGUCACGCACAGGUACACGAAGAAAGAACUGCCACUGAAAACUUCUGAUUAAAGAUAAAAGUAGACAGCCUAUAAAAACAUUAAGAUAAAAAGUAAAGCCAUGUGCCCUGAGUUUCCCCUGCUAUCCCACCUCCUACUCCAAAUUGAUGUUGUCAGCACUCAUGAUUUUAUCUCCAAUCUUGUGAUGUUUGAUGUUUCACUUACACUGCAGCUACUAGAGUUGUGUAAUGAGGUUAGAAGCCCAGCUUUCCUUUUUCUUUAAAUUAAAGUCAGUUUCUAGUCCUAAUGGUUAGAGUAUAAAGCUUGCAAAUGUGACCCAGGUGCACCCUAACAGCUCAAAAUCCAGGAAGCAAAGUAAAGGAUCUCCACGUUUAUCAUUUUACAGACAGGCUUAUGAUUUUGAGGGCCAAACUGUAGUUUUUGAACAUUUGGAGAUGGCAAUAGAGCUCAAAAAGGAAAAAAAAAGUAUCUGAACGAAGUACCACAAUGUGUUGCAUCUUCCAGAGAAACGUAGUAGUCAUUAUAUCCAGGGUGAGAAUUCUUUUGUCAGACAUAUGUGUUUUCUGAUUUACUUUGGUAUGCAGCAUAUCUGGGUUCAGCCCCACACUGCCUGGGCUGGCGGGGGUUGUAUUUAAUAAUGCUUACUGCAGCGGUCCAGCAAGGAACUAGAAACAGCCCGCCUUGCCAGUCCUGAAACAAAGGAGCACACCAACCAACCACAUGGAAACGUGUAAAUGCAAUGUCUAAAAUGCUUGGGUUGGCUUAAGAAGCUCCAGAAGUACCAAGCACAGGUUUUAAUGUACAGAUCAGAAAUAUUCAGCUGGUUUUAUUGUUGUUUUUUUUUUUAUUAUUAUUUUUUUAAACCAUGCUCCCAGCAGCAACAACCAGACUUGAAGAAAGCACAAUGCUUAAAUGGAGCUCCAAGUUAAUGGAGUUGAUGGUGACUCGACAGUGUGUCACUAAAAAUGGGAAUUAAAUCUAGAACUGGGGAGGUGUGCGAAGCACUGAGUGCAGCUGGAAUGCUGCAUGGGCACGUUGGCCAGAAGUUCUCUGUGUGCUCGGAUGGGUGGCCCCAAAGGUCCCUCACACCUUGCUCUGAUCAUUGUGUAGUUCAUUAUGGAAGUGAAAAAAUUACAGAUAAGCCUUAGGCUUUGUGGUGAAGUGUACUUGCCAAUAAAAGCUGGAGGACUCUGAGACUCAGUGUCUACGUUAGUAAGGAGAAUACAUGGGAAUGUUGUUUCACCAAUAUAAACACAUAUGACAAACUACAAUUUAGUAAUAUAUUAAAAUAAGUAGUAUGUAAUUCUGAACUAAACAAGCUCAUGUGAACCUAUACUGACUGUGACUAAUUUUGUUCUUCAAUUCAGAAGAAAGCUGAAGAAACCAUUUCUGAAUCUCAAUCACUUUGCUGAGACCAAAGAGCAUGUAUGUUUUGGGAAUGGGCAGCAUACAAAUUGCAGUCAUUUGCAUGCUGAUUGCUAUCUUGAUACAACGGAAUCUGUCCUAGAGCCCUUGGCUGACUGCUCAUGAAUCAACCGGGUCUGUUGUCACAGUGCAGUGUUUGAACAGAAGUAUUUCCAUUCCACGUUAUUUUCUAGCUGCUUUCUGAAAAUAGAAGAAAAGUAAGAAUACAAUUGCUGGGACUCCUUAUAAAAUCUCACUAGAUGAGUCCAGGGAUAUUCACCAUUGGUCUUGGUGAAGCUUUCAUGCAUCCUUGAAAGGGAUUCAUUAAGCUGGAAAAGCUGGCUGGAAACCAGUCUUCCUAUAAUGUCUUCCAUAAUUUGCUUCAAGGGACACAUUUACAGUCACUCAGCCUUUUUUAUAGAUCUUGUGCAAGACGAAGGGCUGGGUCACAAUUGCAAGACUUUAAUGAAUAGAUGUUUCUUGCAUGCCACAACCAAAACAAUUUUUCAAGCAUCUCAGCACAGCGCCGUGUUUCAGUAUGGACUUUCCCAAGGAUGUGCAAUAGGACCAUAGCUGCAACCUCUGCAUUCGCAACAACCGCUCUUUUCCAGCUGCUCCUUCUUCGAUUCUGAUCCAUUCACAUGCAGAGACAAAACAUCCAGCAACCACGAUUUCUACUCCCCAUUUUUUUGUUCAAGGAGCUGAAGAUUUCAGCUAUUUCCUUUUUGCCAUGUUACCCACUGUACAGGUUUGCACGGAAACAGAUUACAGUGUGAAGACUCCUUGAAUUAACAAAACAUCACUGAAACUUAUCUAUUAAGUAUAGCCAGAUCUCAGAAUGAUAUUCUGCUUGUCACAGGAGUGCUGAGAUCUGCUUCAUGAAGUCCAUUUAAUUUAUGAGAAUGAUCUCUCAUUCACAUCCCACCGAACGCUACUGAUGGACUCAGCGAUUAGAGAUGGAACAAAACAGAGAUGGCUUUGGGGGCUUGGAUUUCAUUAGAAUUUUAAAACGGGGCAGUAGAUUUGCCCACUGACCUUUGAUUAACAAAUAUGAAUUCAGCCAGAAACGUUUUCUCUGAAGGUAGCCCAAUUAAGAACAGCUUCCUUCCGAGUUCCCCUUGUCUGUCUGUGAAAACUGGGCACGCUGGCACUGGGCUUUUUUUCUGGACAUUUUCCACCUGGUCACAAACAUUGGAAGUCCUGUCUUAGCAGGGUAAGCCAAGUAGCUGUUGCACAAAGAAACACUGAAUGCAUUUCUGUAUUGCAACAGAGACAGCCUUGAAUCACCAUAUUGAUAUACAAGGGAUCAGAUAGUAAACUUUUUAUUAGCAGCCAGGAAUUUCUUUUGAAAAUGAUUCUUUUUCUUUGACAUCCCUACAUAUGUGCUGAAGGAUGCUGGUACAGUUUCUUCCUAUCAAGACAGGAUAUAAUGUGUGACUGUGUUCUAGAAAAGUGUUACUUUUUUUUACAGAUUUAUAAUUUUUUAAUGUCAGAUCACCAUAAAGCUUUCAAGCAAUAGCUGCUGGCCAAAAUUACAUUAGGAAAGUGCACGUUAUGCUCCAUUUCCCUCCGGGAAGGGAGGUAAACACAGGCAAUCUGGACUGGGAGGGGCAGAGCAGAGGUAAGGAGGCUCUUGCUGAGUUUCUGCUGGCGGUCAGUACUCCCAUGUCUUCCCAAGAUGGCAAUACAAAAGGAGCAAUACAAAAUAGCAAAGAAAGGAUAUUGUAUUCUGCUGAAUACUAGCUACUCUAGGGACUGGGCAGUACUGUGUGGUCAUUGCAUCCUGAAAGGGGGGAAGGAGACAGCAUCCACAAAUGGGGGAACAAUACUGAUGUUGUAUUAACACCACUGGCAGACAUAUGUAGUAGGCAGGGCUGGUGGAUGCUGUUCAUCAAGUGCGUGGAAAAGCAAUGUGCUGUAACACUCUCUGGCAUUUUGAAAUAGUUGUGAACUCUGUGCAGCACAACCUGAAACUAUUAUUGUCUGAUUAGUCACAGUGCUGCUAAUUGCAACAGUCACCUUAUACCAAGGAAGCUAGUUUAAGGAAGCUUGGGAUAAAGACCACCUAAUUUAGGUCCCCAUUAGUCACUGCAGUAGCUAAAAUUAGGUGAAUGACUCCAGCAGGACAAGCCAGGUCACUCAUUAUACAAUUACUCUUCAUUUACAAGAGUGAAUCAAAAAGCCAUACUGCUUUCCUGGAUGGAGAAAAUGUUGGUGGGAUUUAACUACUGCUAAAUGCUGCAUUUGCAUUUGCUUCUCUCCCUGAAGCUCCAGCCCUUGCCCCAGGGCUGUCCUGUGGGAACUGCUGUCCUGAGUUUAUGGAAGCUCUUCUCUUUGGUGCCAAACCCAGCGAGCUCACUCUGCUAAGAAAAAAGCAGAGGCACCAAGACGAGCAGAGCCCACUGUAUGCCUUUCCUGCUUCCUGAGCACGUGUCCAUAAGGCUGUGAAAGAGAUGGGAAGGGAUUUUGCCUUCAUCACAGUGUUUCUGUCAGCGUGUCAGAAUCUUCUGAGUCUGUCCUUGCAAUGAUCCAUCAAGUGUCUGGUAGGGCUUGGCCUAAGUCUAGGUUGCAGGAGAAUAGUUCCUGAAGGGAGAGUAGAAAGAGGACAGAGCCAGGCAGUCAGUGGUGCCCAGUUCCAGGACAGAGGCAGCAGGCACAAACGAGGCAGCACCACAGUGCUGUGUGGGUGAUGCACCCUGGCACAGGGACACAGAGGCUGCAGCCUCUCCUCCUUCGAGAUGUCCAGGAGCUGCCAGGAUGUGGGGCUGGGCACUCUGCUCUUGGGUGGCCCUGCUGAGACCAGGGCCAGGGUGAGACCAGAGGCACGCAGAGCUCCUGCCAGCCUCAACCAGUUGGGGUUCUGUGACUGGGAUUCCCUGAUUCCAUGAUACUGUGAUGCUGUGACCUCCAGGGCUUCCAGCUGACCAGAAGGUCCCCUUAGGGCUGACGAUGACAGCGGGCAGGCAGCGCUCCCUUUGGCACCCCUGAAUGGAGAUGCCUCAAUCCAGAGGAUCAGGAGCACAGAUUACACCAAGCACCUUCCUGAAGUACCAGUCGGUGCAUGAAUUGCUUCUGCCCACAGGCAGCACUGUGUAGCUCGGUGUCAGAAGGAAGCAGGGUCAGGUGUUUCCUUGUGUGCACUGAAGUAGUAUCUGCUGCCCAAGAUGCCAGCAUGGACAUCUGAGGUCACGCAGUUCAGCCUGCAGGCAAACAUGAUGUCAUCACUGUCAGUGUGUGAGCAAACCCCCAUUCCAAAAGCAGUUCGUUCUGCUUGCUUUCCUUUUUCUCUCCACUUGUUUUGCUUUCCCAUCCUUCUGCAGCGGGGUUUUGUCCAAGCUUUCUUUUUCGUUUUUCAGCCUGUGUUUAUUCUAGGCCAGUUUUGCCUAUUACACUCCCUUGUCUAGCUUUUGUCUCCACAAUUUUCUUUCUGAUGGGUGGAAAGGAAGAUGGAGUCCACAAGAGAAAAUUCAAUAUCGCCGUUUUUGUGUGUAUGAAAUACUCAGCUCUUUGUGCUUGAUUAGACAAUUUUGAGAUGCGGGCAAGUGAGAAUUACAUUGGUCACAAAACAUUUAACUGACAACCUGAAGUAGCCAUUAGAAAGAAAACCCUUCUAAAGCACGAACUUUUUCUUUUAUUAAACAAUUUAUAAUUUGGUCAUACGGUACUCGAAGAUGCUUACAGCUGAAUUUUAAAGUGUGCUGAUUUCACUUAGUGUCACUUUACAUUUUAUGGGUUGGGAGAUCUGCAAAGCCUUUCGCCAGGCAGAGAGAAAUGCCCCGGAUCCUCCUGGCUGUACCAGGGAAGCCUGAGCUCCUGCUGGAGCGUUGCUACCUGCAGCAUCCCUCACCAGCAACCCGGCGUCUUUGUGCUCUUCAUCUCCAUCACGUCAGCCUUGAGACAUGAUGUGAAUCCAGUUUUGUAAAGGAGGUGGAACAGAACAGCAUGGGCUUGGGACGACGAGAGUAGCGAAAUGUUCGCUCACUGCGUGCAGGUGACUGUGGUUAGGAGGAAGUGUGAACAUUUGCUGGCUCGCCUGGCACAACAGAGCACUUUCAACAGCCUUCCCUUAUGAUACAUUUGAGGCAAUUUUAUUUGGAAUUUCAGUCCAAGAAACAUUUUAAGCUUGUUUCUUUUUUGAUCAAAUUAACACAUUGGUCCUUGGGACAUUCUGCUCAGUGCCUGUAAGACUGCUUCUUCUUCCUGCCCUUCCUCAGUGCUCAGCUCACAUCUACCAGCUAUACAACGUAAACACUGGAUAGGUGUAUUUCAGCAUUACAAACACUAACUUUCAAUGGCACAAAACCAAUUUGGAUUUGCACACAUGCAUCAGCAGCACUACCUGUAUUGAUCCACAAGAGCACGAAACCGAUGUGCAAAUAGGCGCGCACUUCUGAAUUGUGAGCAGCCAUUUGGAGGUCUCGACUCAAGGUCCGCCCUCUGCAGCCAGCUCUGCAGGCUGGCACUUCAGCGGUUCUGUCCGUGUGUCUGCGCCCUGGGCACACCGACAGCCUCUGCAGGCCCCCCCCCACCCCAAGCACUGUGGGUGCUGCCAGCUCCCUGCGCUGGGUGCAGUGUGGGCUCCCAGGGUGGGGGCUCAGGAUGUGUUCCUCACCUUGCGUUAGCAGCUCCUGAGCAGGCACCUGAGCACCAGGGUAAUGCAUCUUCCUGCAUAUUAGUACUUCGUCACAGGCGAGCUCUUGUCAUCACCUGUUUCUCCAGAUGGAUGACUGUUUGGGGAUGGAAGGCUUUUUUCCCCUUUAGUUGGACCAAGACCAUCCAACGGAGUGAGCAGCAGGAGGUUCUGAAAGAGAGAUACUGGCUAGCACUGUUUCCACACACCCGCAGACUGAUCUUUAUGCAGCUGAGACUACAAGGGAUAUCCCUUAAAAUAAUGGGCAUCUUAUUACCCAUCUUCUCCAACUCCUGUGGAACGAAACAUCCCAAAAUUGACAGAAGCUGCUGCACAAAGCUUCUUUAUAGAUCUCAGUGUGCCUCCUUUGCUGGCUCCAGCUGCCCCUACGCUCUGUUUUUCCUCGGCCUUUUCUUCAAUAUUUUUUCCAGUUGACUUAGUUAUUACAGUACACGGACCAGAGCGAGGAAAAUACCCUGAAGGUGGGAGCUGGCAGAGCGGGGGGUGGCAAUGGAAGCGCUGUUGCCAUCCCAUGACAUCACCUACACGGCCAUUGGUGGCACUGCGGUGCGGGGAGGCACUGGCCGGCAUCCCCGGGCUCACUUCCGUGACACAGAACAGAGCCGGGGCCUGUCUGCUGCCAGCCCCUUUCAGUGCCAGCCUGCUGGCAGAGCUCGGGACGUUUGUAAAAACAGUACAGUACUUUAUUUAGCCUCUAGUGAGAAAAAGUCACUUCACAGCUCCGGUUUAGGCACAAGGCGCUAACAAGCAGAUUGGAAAAAAAAAAUAAUCCCUUGCAUAAAAACGUUUCAGAUGAAAAUUGAUUUGUAUGCCAGAUGACCUCGUGGAUCGGGAGAUUGAGCUGUGCCUUUUAUCUCCAAAGAAAUGGGUUCGGAUCCUGAUUAGCCCAUAGAGGAAAUUCCAUUUAGUGGUUUAAUUUUGGUGAGCUGAAAAGCUGUUCCCUGCCUAGAACCGCCAUCUAUUAUGGCGUGAUUGGCAGUCUGUGUUCAAGGCAGAACAAGAACGUCACCUCGGCUCUACUCCUAUUACUUCAUCCUGCCAUCAGCUCUCAGCACCUGACCUCCAUUUCCAAAGAGCCUAAGAAAACAGGCAGGAUUCAAGGUGAAAGUGGAGUUGUGCAGCUGUGCCCGGACAGAGUGGAGGAGGCAAAUGGCUAAGAAAGACUGCGGAGGUGCCAAGGGGAGACCUGGAGAAUGGGACAAGAGGGCCUGGGAAAGCAAGAAGCACACUGAUGGAGCAAUGUUUCAUGAGGGAAAAUGGAAAGGGAAGGAGAAAGGGGAAAAAAGUAGGGAAUGAGGAUGGGCGGGCAAAGGAUGUCUGUGUGAAAGGUGGGAUGCAGGCAUAGCCAGAGCUGAAGGCAGUGAACCAAAAUGAGCAUAACUCCACCUAAAUAUCAGGUGUAAGAAGAAGGCUCUCAGGAUUGGCUCCUGGAACAUCUCACUGUGUCUGAAGGUUCUGGUUGGCAUAGACAUGUCCUGAGUCAUGGAAUCAUAGAGAGGCUUAGGUUGGAAGGGACCUUAAAGAGCAUUCAGUUCCAACCUCCCUGCCAGGACAAGGCUGUCCCCAGCAGAUCAGGGCUCAGGGCUCCAUCCAACUGGCCUUGAGCACUACCAGGGAUGUGGCAUCCACAACAGUCCUCAGCUGGUGCUAAAUAUUUUGCAAUCAAGGUAUCUUAGCAUGGUUUUCCUAAGUCUUCAUUCCUUGGAGCGUGAACCACUUCUGCAGGGGAGCAGAGGAUAUGCAGGAUUGGUCAGCAGCCAGUUCACUUCUCCAUCAUGUCUUUGCAGGAAACAGAGUAAGAGAAGAGAAGAACUCCAGCCUAAUCAAUAGAGUAUCUCCACGUUGUUGGGUUAUGUUGCUACUACCAGCAUAAGCACGUUCCUGGUGGCCUGCUGGGCUUUCUCCACAGAUAUUAAAUGGAGGAAGGAAUUAGAAUUUUGCAUUGUGACACUAAUCAGCCUCGUGACCCUGUUUUGUGCAAUGUUGUGAGCAGAUAGAUAAGAAAAUAUUAUCACUCUAAGGUGGUUGCAGCAGUGGGUGAAAACCUCUCACUGGUGGGAAUGGAGGUUUUGCUGCCAGGAUGGCAUUUCAGCUUUCUUAGUCACCUCGGCUGUCACAGCAGUGAAUGUGCUCAUAAAAUAAUCUCCGUUUGGGUGGUCUUCCUUGGAACAAUAAAAUGUGCAUUUGGAAUGGCACUGAUAAUUGGAAAAAACGCUAUAAAACCAGCAUGGCGAUGAAGUGCAAAGUACUGCAUUUUUUGGGAGGAGAAAUGCCAGAAGGGAUCUCCUGGUGGGGCUGGAGCUCCAGGUGGGCUGAAGGCUGGACACAAGGGCAGGGUGGGAUGUCCUUUUCUGGCUGCAGUUCUCCAGCAGCGAAAGCUGCUCUCCACAAUCCUGGUGCUUCAUCAUCUCCUCUCACCUGAGGCUUUGGCUUCUUCACACACCCCUCAGCCUUAGCAGGGUGUGUUAGAUGAAGGCGAGAAGAGACCUGCUGUCUGUACUGCUGACUGUCGAGGAGGGGUUGGCCGGCAACGGCGCUGGCUGACCUGGGAGGGGAGAGAAGGCAGCUGGGGGUGGUGAUAAGCAGCUGGAGCGGGCGAGAAGAAAUAAACUUUUCACCCAGCUCAGCUGCAGCCAGAACAGGAUGUGUGGCUGCAACCUAAGACAUAGGAGAUAAUUAUUCCACUCCACUUGGCACCGGUAAGGCCUCAGCUGGAAUACGGUGUCCAGUUCUGGGCACUGCACUGUAAGAAAAAUGUAGACAAACUGGAGAGAGUCCAGGAGAGAGACACUGGAAAUAUCAGAGGCACAGAAAGAACGACCUAGGAGGAAAUGUUGAAAGGAUUGUUUGUUUAGUCUGGGAACAGCAGAGUCUAAAGAAGCGAUGAUAAAAAUCUUGCAAUAAGUUAAAGUUUAUUGUAAGGAGGAGAGUGAUAGAUCUUUCCCCAUGGCUGCUGCAGGACAGGGAAAGAAGGAAGCAGCUUCAUUUGCAGCUAAGAAAAGAGAGAUUAGGAGAAACUUUCUGGGAGGGCAGUGCACACAAGCUGCUAGGGAAUGCAUGGGUCUUGUUAAACUACAUAAUAACUACUAUGUGUUCUAUUUUAUUAACAAACAUUGGAAGAAUAAGGAUGGUUUUUUUGUUAGAAUGAUUAUUUUGGGCUAAAGCCUGGGACUGGAUUUCUACAUGUCCACAGCACAGUCAUGUGGGUGCACUUGCAAGAAAUAGCUCUUGGGCUUCAUGCUUGCUCUUCUUCAGCAUCAGUGUGCACAAAACGCAGCAUCUUGUGACUGAUCUCUUAUUGCAAGAUCUCUACAUAUUGUUGCAAUACAAAUAGGUCAUCGUGUAACCCAACAGUUUGUAUAAAAUCCUAUGAAUACAUGAAUAACUUCGUCUUAUGAUUCCAUUUUUGGCUGCACUGUAUUUUUUCCCUUGCAGGUUCGUAUCAGAUACCUCUAAUCCCUUCUUUGUAGACUUGCGGUAUGUGCACAGCUAGAGAUAUAUCCACUGAUAGCUGUUAAUCCUUUGAGUGUUUUUACAUUACACAGCAUAUGUCCAGUGAAAGUUCUGCUGUAUGGUUUAAGGAUACUCGCCGAUUCUCCAGCAACUGCAAACAGAAUACUGCACCAUCCCAGGAAGUUCUCAGGCUGUGAAUUGGAUUUUCUUCUUCAGAAGAGACUCAAAGGACGUCCUAAUAUUUCCAAAAGUUCAGACUAAUGUGCAUUGCAAACUCAGGAAAGAAAUGGACCGAGGGUCAGGGAGGUUGGAUGUGGAGGUAGGAAGCCAGCACACUAAGGUCCCACACAGCGUCUUGGACUCACCGGUGAUGUUGCAGAGGUCAAAAUCUAUGGCUGUAGCUGGCCAAAACAUUUCUUGAGACUUAUGACAGAAUAUGGAUUUUUUUCUCAUGAAAUAAAAUCUAUUAGGGAAUGUAUUUGAGCGCACUUUCAAUUCUUAGUCUCCUUGGAUUCUGAAGUGUAGCUUUAGAUAUGAGUGUUUUGGAUUUUCUGCUGUUCGGUUUUGGUUUAGUCACAAAAUGUUAAAGGUGUUUUAUUAGUUCCCAGUGUACGUACCCAACCUUCAUUCCAUCUGCACAACAACACUAACAAAAAACAUGAGGUAAAGAAUACAACGAGGUCAUGGAUACUUUUAACAUUUUGAGGAUGAACAGCAUUAAGCCUAUAUCACCUUUGAAGUUUAUACUCAGUGGAGCACUAGAGCAGUACAAACCAGUAAAACAAAACAGCCAGUUAAGCGAGGUUACAGCUGCUUUGCUUUCCACAAAAGCACAACGCACCCACAGGAUAUUCAUUAUCACAUGAAUUAUUUUUUGUGGUUCUUCAUGGAAGGUAGGUGUCAAAGGCAUCUAUUGUGAAGAACUGGGACAUGGUCAGCCUUGCCUAUUGAAAUGAGGUGGGAGAGAAAACCAUAUCUCAUCUACUUCUCUUGGUUGCUUUGCAGAGCAUUGGGGUGCUCCCACAUCUUCCUGUUAGAGCUGAAGCAUCAUGGAAGGUUUACUGGGAUAGAAAGGAAAAAUGGGAAAGGGGUAGUGGAAAGAAAGGGAGAACUGCUGUGAUUUAGAUGUUGAACAGUUGGACUUCAAAGACUGUGUUAGACACCUCAGGCUCCAUGUACAAUCAGUGGAGAGGAAAAGUAACUCCAGGGAGAUGCUUGUCUCCUUCAGGACAAGAAAUGCCUGUUUCUCUGCUGCCUCUACGAGACAUCUAGGUAUCCUAGAUAGGGGAAGUUGGCUGGGAUGACCCUGCACGGCCUCCUGGCUGUGGCACUUCCUGGAGGCCGCUCCCACCACUGGGAGUUGCCUCAGGGUGGAAUCACCUCUUCUACUCACCCUGUGGUGACUGCAGGGCAGCAGUGACCGCCAGGGCCGCCUGUGAGGAGGGGAGCAGGCUGCUCAGCUCUUGUCAUGGCCCAGGAGCCCUGACAGACAGCUCGCUUCAGGGCCUUUGAGAUGAAGAGCCCAAAGGGUAGCUGUGGUACUGCAGGACAAGGUUCAGUGGUGGAAGGCAGACGGUCAGACUGGAUGAUCUGUGUAUCUUUUCCAACCUUAAUGAUUCUAUGAACCUAUGUCACCUGCUGGUGGCACCAAGCCAGAGCUGCCCUUGUCUGUGCCUGGGCGGGAGAAGGAGAAGGUUGGAGACUUACGGAAGCGCCCUUUGCCCUGCCUCAGUCCUACGCAAGGACCAGGUUUGCAUUUAACUGCACCUAAGCUGUAGGAAUCCUCACGGCUCAGGAAGCAAAAUCCUUUGGCUCUGUAAGCAGACCAAACCCAUCUUCAUUUGCUGCAUGGCCCCUGAUAGCUUUUCCACAUUUCACAUGGGACUGGGCUCUCAAAUGCUUUUUACAAAUUUGACCAACUCCCUUCCAGCAUCUGGCAGGGCUCAUUUUCCCACUGAUACUUCAUUUAUUCCACAUGAGCUUCCCCACCUUUAUUUCAUCGUCGAAUCAUUACGGUUGAAAAGAGCACUAACAUCAUCGAGCCCAACCAUCAAUUUAUUGAGUCCAACCACCAAUUUAUUUAUAUUUAUGUUCUUUUGCUUUUUUUUUUCAUCCCAGCAGGGAGGCGAGCAAGUGGAAGUGCAUCCCAUGUAACGUCUGGGAACGGCCUCGCAGGGCUUUGGCACCUUGUGCAGGAAUGAGCACAUGCAGGUAGAAUGCGAUGGCUCCCGCUGAGCACGGCUGUGCUGAAUCCUACAGCCCAGCAAAGAGCAGCUGGUUAAGGUGGAAUUUGGAAAUCAGUCACAAGAUAAACAGGUUGCAACGUUAAGCGCUCUCCAAGGGAAAAGCAGCAUGCAGCAUAUGUUCUUACUUUGGAAGAUAUUUAAGAAAGGGAAAAAAAAUAUCACAACCCUUUAAUAGACCCUUUACUGGCUCGUGCUAGUGGGGCUGUUAAUUAAUUAAAUAACUAUAUGUGAAUGGCAUCCAUUGGGAAAGAGCCUCACAGCUUCCAGAUGCCAGUUAUUGGCCCCAUUACAGGCCUAAAACUAUUACAGUAAAUCAUUACAUGCUCCAAGAUGAACUGGCACACGAUUGCUGGGAGGAAGGAUGGAGCUAUUCUCACUUGUGCCAUUUUGUGUCAGUUUUUAUCUAGUGAGAUUAAUUAGGACUUUUAGAAGUGCAAGUCAGAACUAUAAAAUAUUAAAGGAUAUUCCAUCAAUAGGAUGGAGACACGCUUAAGCAGAGCUUUUAAAACUUUUGGAUGUUGACGGAUAGAUAGAAAUUGGAAGAGAUAAUGAGCAACAUCUGACUUUGAUUUAUUUUUUUAGAAGGUCAGAUUUAUAGAGAGUGGGUCUGUACUAAGCCUCCUCUGUCUGCUGGGGGAGUACUCAGAGGAGGACAUUAAAGUUUAUCACUUGAGUUCAGGUGCCAGGUAAGCAAACAGUUUCUCAGGCCAAAACCAAUCAUUUAAGGCCGUUAUUCCAGACACAGAAUCAACUAGAAAGUAUUAAAUAACCCCACAACCUGGAUCCCCUGCUGGGAGGGGAGCACUUCCUGACAAUGGAUGGCAGCCUAAAAUCUAUGAUCUGGCCUUGGAUGGUCCUUUUUUCCCCCGUCUUAAUUAAUAAACUAUACUUUUUCACCCUAAAUGACUACCGUGGACCUUGCUGUCAUUUUAGGCUGUUUGAGGGAUAAAACCAUAGAGUCACCUACAUCACCCCAAGCCUACACCUUUGAAAACCUUCAUGCCUGCUUGGUCUGUUUCAAAUGCAAAAUCUAAGCAGUGGAGGGGCACUGCAGGGUAUUAAACUGUUUAUACAAUUUACCCAAUAAUUAGACACAUUAAUUCACAGGCAGACAUUCCCUCUGAAAAGUGUUCCAUGGCUGGAAUUGAUGGCUAAGCAAAGGGUGGAGAGUUUUGCAGGGGGUCACCAAGACUGUUGAAGGAGUGGUUCCAAGGGGACCCAACACCAGACCACGCAGGGGCUCAGCGGUUCCAAUUGCAUGGAGGACAUCCAGAAAUGUAUAAAUGUGGCACUGAGGGAACAUGAGUUAGUGGGCAUGAUGGUGAUGGGUUGACAGUUGAUUCAAUGAUCUUAAAAACUCUGUGGUCUCUCUGCUGCUCCAAGGUGUAUGGGACACUCCAUAGAUGGAAUGCUUGAUAGCAGUUUACCGUAAGUAGAAAAAUGAGGUAUUUGUUGGCUCUGUGGAUUCACAAGAGAAAUAGCAUCUCUUGAAAACCAACUUCAUCAAGCUGCUUCCCCUGAAGAGAAGGUAAGGAUGCAGAAACAUUCACACGGAUACUACCAGGAAGUGACUUGCUGUGUGAGAAAAGCAUGAGUAAGAGUCUGCUGACUAACCUCUAGUGAAGGGAAGGGAUUGAUUUAUUACCAGAGCACAACAAAUGGAGGCACUGCUCUUGCAGGCUGCUCUGUACAAGCAGAUCCAUGCAGCCAUGUGGCUCUGGUAGGGCCCAGCAGGGCUCAGGACUGGCAGGACUGGCUCAAUAGCAAUAGGAUGGAAAAUUUUACGUUCCAUUUCUCCAGUACAAAAAAUGUCGAUUUGGACAAAAAAAAUCUGGCCAAACAUCCCAAAUUCGGAUGGGAGCCAUGGGACUUGGAGCAGUGAAGCAGAAGGACAGACGGCUGCUUUGUCAGCAGGGCAGCACCCGAUGUAUGUGUUGGUAGGAAAGCACUGCCUGGUCUGGUCCUCAAUGCAAACAAAUGGCUUGCAGGCUCUGGGAUCCGGGGAGGGGAGUGUCACCAUGUGUCCAGCACAAACAAAAGGAUGAGCUGAGCCAAGAGCAGCUCAGUGUUCAUCUCCCAUUCCCUGGCUGUAACCACAGGAGACUCCUCUUGGCUUGCACUAGAAUGGGAUAGAAUGUAAUCGCUGAGCAAAAAUGUUGUUCCUACUUGAUAGCUUAACAUGACGUAGGCAGCAGCUAUGCUUUUGCACUGAGCUUGCCUUUCUGCUCUGUGGAAUCUUAGACUGGCCCAUGCUUUGCAUCAGAGAAAAUGAAACCAGGAGAGGAAAAACACAGCUACUUUUUUUUUUUUUUUUUUCUGGGGUACAGAUCAUGAAUUCUGAGCCAGAAUGAGAUGGAAGCGAGCGCAGGUCAUCACAGCCUGCUACCUGUGAGCAGGGGGGUCUCACUGCAGGCCCUGGGCUGCAAAGUAGAACAGCAGCAGCAGCACGGCUGUGUGUGCAGGUUCCUUCCCAGCCACCACACUCAUUGCUUCAUGCCCCACGUUCUGAGUAUUUUGGGACGGAAACAGGAAAAAGGACUCCAGCCAUAUACCGCGAUCGUACAGUAAAUGGUGGAUUUCAACUUUCCAGUGGGAGGAAUAAUGGACUAGUGUUAGGGACCUGGUGCUGUCAGGUAUGUGCAGGCAGACACAGCUGGAGAAAAGCUUUGGGCACAGAUACAAAGUCCAGUCUGACUUUGUAAAGAUGUAUGCACACCCUUAACUUUAAACACAUAAAUUUUCCCAUUGACCUCCCUGGACCUAUUCAUGCAUUAAACAUAUGCAUAAGCCUCUCUAGAAAGAGGGAAUAUAAUAAAUGAGAUAACCAAAAUAGUUAACCAGAAAUAUUUUCUGUACAGGGAAAUAGGAAAAUUUACAAGGGGUGUGUGCACAUGGGCUCCCAGCGAUCCCUCUUGACAGAAAAGGCCAGAUAAAAUCUAGGCCACAUUGUUAAAGGACAAGGCAUUGUUGCUCGUGUAUGAAGGGUGUUUCCAGCUACCCAUAGCACAGACAAGAGCAUAGUUUGCAUUCAGUACGUUAAUUAAGCAAUUUGCUGGAAUUCAGCAUGUGGUGGAUUGGUGGGAGGCAACUUUAGCUGGGGUUCUGCAGGCUGAGAUCCCUUCGUUACACUGAUGACUCUGAGUGGUGCCAACAGAGCAGCACACUCAGUAGUGCACUGCUGAGGUGGCUUCUGCACAGUCAGCCCUAAACAAUGCAGUUAUGACCCAGUGAAAAGAACUGAUAAAACCAAUCAAGAUCUACAUUAUUAAGCUGUCUAUUGUUGGUGAGAUAUCCAGAGCCUGAUGAUAAGCACCACUGUUAUCAAGCAAGGGGGACUUUCUGCAGACCAUUAAGACUUCGACUUGUUUUUAACCUGUCAUUUUUUUUUAAUAUUCACAUGGGAAAUGUUUCAAUUUUACUGUCCAUAUCUGUCUCUACACAUUGCAUUAGGCCUGUUUUUCUUGAUAGGUUUAUCAUUUAGCAUAUGCUGUACUCAUUAGCAUUUACAUCUAUAGGUUGUUCUGGAGUUACUGUAGCAUAUGGUUGUGAAUGGUAGCUACAGAAACCUCCAGCAAACAAGCAAUAUUGUGACCUGUGCUAGUGGAUGGAGGUGAACAUGGACUCUACCUAUAGCAUUAAUGCAUUUAGUGGCUGAUGCCUGCUUACUUGUGCAAAGCAGAGCAGUGCUCAGGCCUUUCAGACCUGUGUUUGCUAAAUCAUCUUAAAACAGACCUUUAAGCUUUGCUGUUUCAUGGCAGAACUUUCAGCAAGCUGCAUUCUCAACUUCCUUCUGCUUUUCCUUUUGUGCAUUAAAAAUGGAUACUUGACUUCAACAAGGCCAUUAUCCAUAAGCUACAAAAAGCCAACUCCUUACUCACAAACACUUAAGGCUUUCAGACAAUGCAGAAGACUGGGAGGGGAGAGACUGCUGCUUCUUUACAUCAAGACUAUAUCCUGAUCUCUCUUUUGUGUCCAAAACCCAACGUCACCCUACCCAGGAUUAUUAGGGUCUUCCUUUGAGCACCAAACCCAAGGAACUAGUGCGACCUGUAGGCAAACAAGCCAAGUCUGAAACGAGAUGAAGCUCCAGCCCCAGUGCCAGCCUGUACUUGUAUUUAUUCUGCUUUACGACAGACUUCUUUUGGCACAGGGAGAUACACUGCGCUGAGCUUUGGCACAUUGCUUCAGACAUGGAGGAAGUCUGGGAUGGGAGACCACAGCCUAAGUGUAUUUACCUUGCACUCUGUUUUCAUUAGACUUGCUGGAGCUGAAGGGUUCCUCCAUUCCCUUUGAAUGCCCUGUUUUGUGUGAUGAUGACUUUGCAAGACGAAAUGUCUUCUGUCCUAUCCAUGCGUUGCUGUCAUUCACACUGAGAAUCCUGGAGCCUGCGUGUUUUAGUCUGGGGAUGAAUUAGCAUUUUAGUUUUAGUACAUCCUGUCCCAUAAUUAUACUGAAUGGUUUUUGGAAGGAGAGUCUGAAAACCUACCUAUUCCCAAGAAUAAUGAUUUUGGCCUCAAAUAAAGGACAGGACAGGACUGGCACUGAAAUACUGGAAACUCAGCAUAUUAUGAACUUUAGUGCUGGUACUCUGUGAUUUCUUAUCCGAACAGAAAGCAUUUUCAUUUGUAUUGCUUUAUUUUCCUUGAAGGCAGACUUUGCUCCUGGAGAAAACAGACUGUGGGAUCAAAAGAGAUCUGGAGAACCAGCCUCAGUGCUCUGGGCCUGCAAGUUUCCAUCUGCAGGCUCUAAUUCAGCUCUGCUGUGUAUGUAGAAGGGGAAAUGCAGAGCAAAUAGCUCAAAGUUUCACUUUUGGCUUUCAGACGCUGCAGCAUUUUAUUCUCUUUAUAUCCAUGGCUUCUAUUUAAUUCUCUAUCUACCUGUAGCUCUGACUGCACUGACUUUCAGGGACUGUCCUGGAUAUCUCUGGUCACUGCAGUAGAGGAACAACACUGCUGUGUACCGCACAGUCCAACCUAGUCCAGGAGAGGACUGGAGACAGUGCCCUUUCCUUUCCCUUUGCCUCUCACAUCGCCCUGUGGGUAGGAUACAACACAAACUACAACUUACUAGAAAAGGAAGUAUUGGGAAAUGUGUGUUUCCUAUUAGAAAUACAAGUAGUGGCAAUAAAACCCAAACAAGGAAGAAAAGAAAAAGCUGUUUUGAAAUCUCAGUGCUUGGUUAUGCUGCCCUGAUUUCUUAGCCAUCAAUCCUUUGCUGAUACAGGUAGGGCUGGGUAAAAUGUCAUUGAAGCUGAUAGAUGUAACCUCAUUGAGAGCAGCAAAACCACCUGAUUUUCUUCUACACAAAAGCCAGGCACGAGAUCUCACCAAAGCAGAGCCAUGUGCAGAGCUAAGGAGCUUCAGCAAUAAGAGAAAAUCCCACUAAUACUUAGUGCAACUUUACUGCCUUACUGCAGAACUGCACAGGUAAGGAGUUAAAAUAAAGGAUAAGGGAAAGUCACACAAUGACUCUGUAAGCACUGGGACAGGACUGCUCAGCAGGUUGGUGGUGGGGCCUCCCAUGGGCAAGAAAGGUUGAGCUGUGUCCCAUCCCCUGCUGGAAGGAGCUGUGAGAGGGGCACAGACAACCUGCUGUUCCCACAACAAGCUCAGUAGGGUCCAGUCCUCUCCAGAUCUUCCUCUUACUGGCAGUCAUUGGGAUUUCCUGGUGCAUCCUUACCAUUUCAGAGCUUGUUUGCCAUUCACUGUCACUGUGGAUAUUUUCUAUAGGAUCUUGGGUGAGCUGAGCUCUUUUCCUUCAGCUUUUGACGACCACAUGGCUCUCCUUUCUUCCACGCUUUAGCAAACUCUAAAGCUGCUCCCCAAACAGCC